GAAGGCGCUCCAGUCAAUGAAGCACCGCGGCGACACGGAGAGCAGUGACUCGGACUCAGACUAAUGGGGAAUCCCUCAUACAAUGGGGGAAUCCCUCAUACAAUUGGAAAAUCCCUGUGACAUCAGAAAGAGGGGAUACCCUGGUCCUGAUGUCCCAUAGGGAUAGGCCCGCUCAGCGAGGAAAUCCCUACCAUACAAAUAUUUAGAAUUUUUAUCUCUGGUCAGAAGCAAUCAUAAAUCAUGCAAGAGUGGACGCGCUUCUAACCAGUGGCUUGUUUUUGCAUCUAAUUGGUGUCGCUUACAGCUUCACCCUAUUGUUGACUGUAAAUAUUAUGUGAAUUUAUAUUACAUUGUUGUGUGAGAGUUGAAUGACGACUAGAAAUUGUGUAAAAAAAAAAAAAAAUUAACAUGUCUGACUUAUAAAAUAAAGAUCUUGAAAAGGU
rnacentral:misc_RNA from 1 species